rnacentral:rRNA from 1 species
UACGUAGGGGGCUAGCGUUGUCCGGAAUCAUUGGGCGUAAGGCGCGUGUAGGCGGCCCGGUAAGUCCGCUGUGAAAGUCGGGGGCUCAACCCUCGGAAGCCGGUGGAUACUGUCGGACUCGAGUACGGAAGAGGCGAGUGGAAUUCCUGGUGUAGCGGUGAAAUGCGCAGGUAUCAGGAGGAACACCGAUUGCGAAGGCAGCUCGCUGGGACGUGACUGACGCUGAGACGCGAAAGCGUGGGGAGCAAACAGG